rnacentral:lncRNA from 1 species
CCUUGGCCCAUUAUCUUAUUUUUAUGUUCAAACUUUGCAUUUAAUGCCUUUGUAAUUUCCUAGAUACUUUGCAUGAGCUUGCAUGAGUGUGGACUUGUGCAUGCUCGUGCAUGUUAUCCUUCUCCUCUCUUCUCCUUCAUCCUCCUCUUCUUUAUAUUCUCUUUGUAGCUCUCAUUUGCAAACCAUCAAACAUUUUAUCAAAAAUCUCUCUUUUACUUGUUUGAUCCGAGAAGUGCGUAAUAUCUUCUCAACUUGUUUCCUUCUUAGUGUGUAAUAUCUAAGUUGUAUUCAAGCUCGUAGUCUAAGAGAUUUCCACCUCUCUUGGAAGUACAAAACGUUCCACCUUCAAUCCGCUGCAACAGUUCAUCCGUUUGUCCGUUCAUCUUCCACCU